UUUAGGGAGACCUACCCGUCAGCAGCAGCGAUGCAACUGAUGUGGUCAUCCCAGGUCGGUCGAGGAUGGAGACAAGGCUUUUCAACGAUUGCGGUUCGACCCCAUGCUGUUGACACUCGUAAAGAGAUAGUGAUAGUAUGGGAGGCCGUGGAAAAGGGAUAUCAGCACCGGGCGAAGAGCCAGGAUGCUGGUUAAUACCAGUCAGGACCUUGAAAACUGCAUAAGAAGAAGCGUGAAAGAAAAGUCAAGGUAGGUAGAACUAUCAAGAAACAGAUAGCUCUGAAGAAGUUGACAAGAGAAGU
rnacentral:misc_RNA from 1 species